rnacentral:rRNA from 1 species
AGAGUUUGAUCCUGGCUCAGGAUGAACGCUGGCGGCGUGCUUAACACAUGCAAGUCGAACGAAGCGCUUUGGACAGAUUCUUCGGAUGAAGUCCUUGGUGACUGAGUGGCGGACGGGUGAGUAACGCGUGGGUAACCUGCCUCAUACAGGGGGAUAACAGUUAGAAAUGGCUGCUAAUACCGCAUAAGCGCACGGCAUCGCAUGAUGCAGUGUGAAAAACUCCGGUGGUAUGAGAUGGACCCGCGUUGGAUUAGCUAGUUGGCAGGGUAACGGCCUACCAAGGCGACGAUCCAUAGCCGGCCUGAGAGGGUGGACGGCCACAUUGGGACUGAGACACGGCCCAGACUCCUACGGGAGGCAGCAGUGGGGAAUAUUGCACAAUGGGGGAAACCCUGAUGCAGCGACGCCGCGUGAGCGAAGAAGUAUUUCGGUAUGUAAAGCUCUAUCAGCAGGGAAGAAAAUGACGGUACCUGACUAAGAAGCCCCGGCUAACUACGUGCCAGCAGCCGCGGUAAUACGUAGGGGGCAAGCGUUAUCCGGAUUUACUGGGUGUAAAGGGAGCGUAGACUGAAUGGCAAGUCUGAUGUGAAAGGCCGGGGCUCAACCCCGGGACUGCAUUGGAAACUGCCAAUCUAGAGUACCGGAGGGGUAAGUGGAAUUCCUAGUGUAGCGGUGAAAUGCGUAGAUAUUAGGAGGAACACCAGUGGCGAAGGCGGCUUACUGGACGGUAACUGACGUUGAGGCUCGAAAGCGUGGGGAGCAAACAGGAUUAGAUACCCUGGUAGUCCACGCUGUAAACGAUGAAUACCAGGUGUGGGAGGACUGACCCCUUCCGUGCCGCAGUUAACACAAUAAGUAUUCCACCUGGGGAGUACGACCGCAAGGUUGAAACUCAAAGGAAUUGACGGGGGCCCGCACAAGCAGUGGAUUAUGUGGUUUAAUUCGACGCAACGCGAAGAACCUUACCAGGAUUUAACAUCCAACUAACGAAGUAGAGAUACAUUAGGUGCCCUUCGGGGAAAGUUGAGACAGGUGGUGCAUGGUUGUCGUCAGCUCGUGUCGUGAGAUGUUGGGUUAAGUCCCGCAACGAGCGCAACCCCUAUUGUUAGUUGCUACGAAAGAGCACUCUAGCGAGACUGCCGUUGACAAAACGGAGGAAGGCGGGGACGACGUCAAAUCAUCAUGCCCCUUAUGUCCUGGGCUACACACGUAAUACAAUGGUGGUAAACAGAGGGAAGCAAGACUGCGAAGUGGAGCAAAUCCCUAAAAGCCAUCUCAGUUCGGAUUGCAGGCUGCAACUCGCCUGCAUGAAGCUGGAAUUGCUAGUAAUCGCGGAUCAGCAUGCCGCGGUGAAAACGUUCCCGGGCCUUGCAC